rnacentral:rRNA from 1 species
AGAGUUUGAUCCUGGCUCAGGACGAACGCUGACGGCGUGCCUAAUACAUGCAAGUCGAGCGGACAGAUGGGAGCUUGCUCCCUGAUGUUAGCGGCGGACGGGUGAGUAACACGUGGGUGACCUGCCUGUAAGACUGGGAUAACUCCGGGAAACCGGGGCUAAUACCGGAUGGUUGUUUGAACCGCAUGGUUCAAACAUAAAAGGUGGCUUCGGCUACCACUUACAGAUGGACCCGCGGCGCAUUAGCUAGUUGGUGAGGUAACGGCUCACCAAGGCAACGAUGCGUAGCCGACCUGAGAGGGUGAUCGGCCACACUGGGACUGAGACACGGCCCAGACUCCUACGGGAGGCAGCAGCAGGGAAUCUUCCGCAAUGGACGAAAGUCUGACGGAGCAACGCCGCGUGAGUGAUGAAGGUUUUCGGAUCGUAAAGCUCUGUUGUUAGGGAAGAACAAGUACCGUUCGAAUAGGGCGGUACCUUGACGGUACCUAACCAGAAAGCCACGGCUAACUACGUGCCAGCAGCCGCGGUAAUACGUAGGUGGCAAGCGUUGUCCGGAAUUAUUGGCGUAAAGGGCUCGCAGGCGGUUUCUUAAGUCUGAUGUGAAAGCCCCCGGCUCAACCGGGGUGGGUCAUUGGAAACUGGGGAACUUGAGUGCAGAAGAGGAGAGUGGAAUUCCACGUGUAGCGGUGAAAUGCGUAGAGAUGUGGAGGAACACCAGUGGCGAAGGCGACUCUCUGGUCUGUAACUGACGCUGAGGAGCGAAAGCGUGGGGAGCGAACAGGAUUAGAUACCCUGGUAGUCCACGCCGUAAACGAUGAGUGCUAAGUGUUAGGGGGUUUCCGCCCCUUAGUGCUGCAGCUAACGCAUUAAGCACUCCGCCUGGGGAGUACGGUCGCAAGACUGAAACUCAAAGGAAUUGACGGGGGCCCGCACAAGCGGUGGAGCAUGUGGUUUAAUUCGGAGCAACGCGAAGAACCUUACCAGGUCUUGACAUCCUCUGACAAUCCUAGAGAUAGGACGUCCCCUUCGGGGGCAGAGUGACAGGUGGUGCAUGGUUGUCGUCAGCUCGUGUCGUGAGAUGUUGGGUUAAGUCCCGCAACGAGCGCAACCCUUGAUCUUAGUUGCCAGCAUUCAGUUGGGCACUCUAAGGUGACUGCCGGUGACAAACCGGAGGAAGGUGGGGAUGACGUCAAAUCAUCAUGCCCCUUAUGACCUGGGCUACACACGUGCUACAAUGGACAGAACAAAGGGCAGCGAAACCGCGAGGUUAAGCCAAUCCCACAAAUCUGUUCUCAGUUCGGAUCGCAGUCUGCAACUCGACUGCGUGAAGCUGGAAUCGCUAGUAAUCGCGGAUCAGCAUGCCGCGGUGAAUACGUUCCCGGGCCUUGUACACACCGCCCGUCACACCACGAGAGUUUGUAACACCCGAAGUCGGUGAGGUAACCUUUUAGGAGCCAGCCGCCGAAGGUGGGACAGAUGAUUGGGGUGAAGUCGAAACAAGGUA